rnacentral:rRNA from 1 species
GAGUAUUAAUAGUUAUGAUCUUGAAACUUAAAGAAUUUGGCGGUAUUAUAGUCUAUUUAGAGGAAUCUGUUAUGUAAUUGAUAAUCCACAUAGAACCUUACUUAUAUUAAUUCUUGUAUACCGCUGUAUAAGAAUAUAUUUUUAGAUAAUUUUCUAAAUAUAUAAUUAAUUAAAAUUUCAAGUCAAGGUGCAGUUAUAUAUAAGUUGAAUAAUGGAUUACAAUAAAUUUUAUUUAUUAUGGAUUACUUAUUGAAAUAUAAUUUGAAGGUGGAUUUAAUUGUAAUUUUAUAAAGAUUAUUAAAAUGAUUUUUAGCUCUAUAAUAUGU